rnacentral:rRNA from 1 species
GAUGAACGCUGGCGGCGUGCCUAAUACAUGCAAGUCGAGCGAACAGACGAGGAGCUUGCUCCUCUGACGUUAGCGGCGGACGGGUGAGUAACACGUGGAUAACCUACCUAUAAGACUGGGAUAACUUCGGGAAACCGGAGCUAAUACCGGAUAAUAUAUUGAACCGCAUGGUUCAAUAGUGAAAGACGGUUUUGCUGUCACUUAUAGAUGGAUCCGCGCCGCAUUAGCUAGUUGGUAAGGUAACGGCUUACCAAGGCGACGAUGCGUAGCCGACCUGAGAGGGUUAUCGGCCACACUGGAACUGAGACACGGUCCAGACUCCUACGGGAGGCAGCAGUAGGGAAUCUUCCGCAAUGGGCGAAAGCCUGACGGAGCAACGCCGCGUGAGUGAUGAAGGUCUUCGGAUCGUAAAACUCUGUUAUUAGGGAAGAACAAAUGUGUAAGUAACUAUGCACGUCUUGACGGUACCUAAUCAGAAAGCCGCGGCUAACUACGUG